rnacentral:rRNA from 1 species
UGGGGAAUAUUGCGCAAUGGGCGAAAGCCUGACGCAGCGACGCCGCGUGGAGGAUGAAGGUCUUCGGAUUGUAAACUCCUGUCAGAUGGAAAGAAAAGCUUGCGUUUAAUAGAUGUAAGUAUGACGGUACCAUCAGAGGAAGCACCGGCUAACUUCGUGCCAGCAGCCGCGGUAAUACGAAGGGUGCAAACGUUAUUCGGAAUCACUGGGCGUAAAGGGUGCGUAGACGGUAUGUUAAGUUCGUUGUUAAAGGCUCCGGCCUAACCGGAGUAUUGCAAUGAAAACUGGCGUGCUAGAGGGUGAGAGAGAGAAGUGGAAUUCCUGGAGUAGCGGUAAAAUGCGUGGAUCUCAGGAGGAACACCAAUGGCGAAGGCAGCUUCUUGGCUCAUACCUGACGUUG